rnacentral:tRNA from 1 species
GGUUUUUUAGUAUAGAAAGUACACUUGAUUUACACUCAAGAAGGUCAUUUUAAUGAAAGAACUU